AAGCAAUAAUUAAAAGAAACCAAGUGCCUUUGGUUAGUACAUCAUAUUUUAUAAUGCAAGACGACAACAUUUAUGACACAGGAUAAUAAUUUCAGGCCUCAGAAAGGCUUUAAUGAAUUAAAUAGACCUACAAAAUUACAGAUGCAGGUUUCCAGCAAUUACAACAGGCUUUACAGAGAAUGUAAAAACUUCACAUCCACAGUUUCCUGUUAUCUCAAAUUUAAAAAAAACAGUAAAAAGAAAAUACUCCUUCAAGGGCUUUUAACACAUUCACAAAAACUGAAUAUUUUUUAAAGGGCAAUAGUUUGUCUGUUUCCAACUUUCACAUACGAUUAUAUAAAAAUAAAUCAUGUUCAUAAACUUGUAAGGCUUUUUGCUGUAUAUACACAUUAAAUACAUAACAUUUUUUAGUCUAAUCAUUCAAAAAUGCUUGACUAUAACUAAUAAAAAGGGGGAAAAAAAAUGCUUAGUCAUUCAAGCUUAGUGUUUUUCCCCAAAUCGUUCAUCACCUUGGCUGAUAAAACCAAGACCUUGAUAUCAAGCAUCAACAAAUUCAAAUCCUGCAGUGGUAUGUGGUAUAACUUCUUAAAACGUCUUUGUGUAUUCUGCUUCGACCAAAUCUGGUUAAAUGUAGGAUUUCAGACAGAUAGAAACAGUUUCUGCAGUGUUUCUCCAACAGAAACACUGCAGCAGACGGUUUUUGAUGGUGAUGAACUACGCAAUAUUAUCUUUUAUGGACAAUGAUGCUGCAAUGCUGACUUAGGUAUAUGAAGAUAAUGAGUUAUCUUUUUUUUACGUUUAUGGUUCAUUUAAUU